UACAACUUUCAGCAACGGAUCUCUUGGCUCUCGCAUCGAUGAAGAACGCAGCGAAAUGCGAUAAGUAAUGUGAAUUGCAGAAUUCAGUGAAUCAUCGAAUCUUUGAACGCACCUUGCGCCCUUUGGCUAUUCCGAAGGGCAUGCCUGUUUGAGUAUCAUG
rnacentral:rRNA from 1 species